rnacentral:rRNA from 1 species
AGUGAACGCUGGCGGUAGGCCUAACACAUGCAAGUCGAACGGCAGCACAGAGGAGCUUGCUCCUUGGGUGGCGAGUGGCGGACGAGUGAGGAAUACAUCGGAAUCUACUCUGUCGUGGGGGAUAACGCAGGGAAACUUACGCUAAUACCGCAUACGACCUACGGGUGAAAGCAGGGGAUCUUCGGACCUUGCGCGAUUGAAUGAGCCGAUGUCGGAUUAGCUAGUUGGCGGGGUAAAGGCCCACCAAGGCAACGAUCCGUAGCUGGUCUGAGAGGAUGAUCAGCCACACUGGAACUGAGACACGGUCCAGACUCCUACGGGAGGCAGCAGUGGGGAAUAUUGGACAAUGGGCGCAAGCCUGAUCCAGCCAUACCGCGUGGGUGAAGAAGGCCUUCGGGUUGUAAAGCCCUUUUGUUGGGAAAGAAAUCCAUCUGGUUAAUACCCGGGUGGGAUGACGGUACCCAAAGAAUAAGCACCGGCUAACUUCGUGCCAGCCGCCGCAGUAA